rnacentral:misc_RNA from 1 species
GAUGAAGAACGUAGCGAAAUGCGAUAAGUAGUGUGAAUUGCAGAAUUCAGUGAAUCAUCGAAUCUUUGAACGCACAUUGAGCCCUUUGGUAUUCCUUAGGGCAUGCCUGUUCGAGCGUCAUUUAAACCUUCAAGCUCAGCUUGGUGAUGGGCGACUGUCCCCCCCCCUCGCGGGGGGGACUCGCCUCAAAAACAUUGGCGGCCGGUACAUUGGCUUCGAGCGCAGCAGAAACGCGGUCUCGAGCCCGGUGGAUCGGCUCCCAUAAGCCUAUUCUUUUAUUUUGACCUCGGAUCAGGUAGGGAUACCCGCUGAACUUAAGCAUAUCAAUAAGCGGAGGA